GGUAGACUAGGCUCAGUUUGACUGUUUUCCAAGUGCAGUCACUGGGUGUGGUUUAUCCG
rnacentral:pre_miRNA from 1 species